UACGUAGGGUGCAAGCGUUGUCCGGAAUUAUUGGGCGUAAAGAGCUCGUAGGCGGUUUGUCGCGUCUGCUGUGAAAACCCGAGGCUCAACCUCGGGCCUGCAGUGGGUACGGGCAGACUAGAGUGCGGUAGGGGAGAUUGGAAUUCCUGGUGUAGCGGUGGAAUGCGCAGAUAUCAGGAGGAACACAUGCGAAGGCAGAUCUCUGGGCCGUAACUGACGCUGAGGAGCGAAAGCAUGGGGAGCGAACAGG
rnacentral:rRNA from 1 species